rnacentral:rRNA from 1 species
AACGAACGCUGGCGGCAGGCUUAACACAUUCAAGUCGAACGCACCUUUCGGGGUGAGUGGCAGACGGGUGAGUAACGCGUGGGAAUCUACCCUUCUCUACGGGAUAGCUCCGGGAAACUGGAAUUAAUACCGUAUACGUCCUGAGGGAGAAAGAUUUAUCGGGGAAGGAUGAGCCCGCGUUGGAUUAGCUAGUUGGUGGGGUAAAGGCCUACCAAGGCGACGAUCCAUAGCUGGUCUAAGAGGAUGAUCAGCCACAUUGGGACUGAGACACGGCCCAAACUCCUACGGGAGGCAGCAGUGGGGAAUAUUGGACAAUGGGCGCAAGCCUGAUCCAGCCAUGCCGCGUGAGUGAUGAAGGCCCUAGGGUUGUAAAGCUCUUUCAGUGGGGACGAUAAUGACGGUACCCACAGAAGAAGCCCCGGCUAACUUCGUG